rnacentral:rRNA from 1 species
UACGUAGGGUGCAAGCGUUGUCCGGAAUUAUUGGGCGUAAAGGGCUCGUAGGCGGUCCGUCACGUCGGGAGUGAAAACUUGGGGCUUAACCCCAAGCCUGCUUCCGAUACGGGCGGACUAGAGGUAGGCAGGGGAGAACGGAAUUCCUGGUGUAGCGGUGAAAUGCGCAGAUAUCAGGAGGAACACCAACAGCGAAGGCAGAUCUCUGGGACGUAACUGACGCUGAGACGCGAAAGCGUGGGGAGCAAACAGG